rnacentral:rRNA from 1 species
UACGUAGGGUGCAAGCGUUGUCCGGAAUUAUUGGGCGUAAAGAGCUCGUAGGCGGUCUGUCGCGUCUGCUGUGAAAACUCAGGGCUUAACCCUGAGCUUGCAGUGGGUACGGGCAGACUAGAGUGCGGUAGGGGAGACUGGAAUUCCUGGUGUAGCGGUGAAAUGCGCAAAUAUCAGGAGGAACACCGGUGGCGAAGGCGGGUCUCUGGGCCGUAACUGACGCUGAGGAGCGAAAGCAUGGGGAGCGAACAGG